CAGUCGCCACGGUAAUACGAAGGGGGCUAGCGUUGCUCGGAAUCACUGGGCGUAAAGGGCGCGUAGGCGGCCGAUUAAGUCGGGGGUGAAAGCCUGUGGCUCAACCACAGAAUUGCCUUCGAUACUGGUUGGCUUGAGACCGGAAGAGGACAGCGGAACUGCGAGUGUAGAGGUGAAAUUCGUAGAUAUUCGCAAGAACACCAGUGGCGAAGGCGGCUGUCUGGUCCGGUUCUGACGCUGAGGCGCGAAAGCGUGGGGAGCAAACAGGAUUAGAUACCCCCGUAGUCCCUGUCUCUUAUAC
rnacentral:rRNA from 1 species